UAAAGUGGCGCACGGGUGAGUAACACGUGACUAACCUACCCUCGAGUGGGGAAUAACCUAGAGAAAUCUGGGCUAAUACCGCAUAACACUUACGAGUCAAAGCAGCAAUGCGCUUGGGGAGGGGGUCGCGGCAGAUUAGCUAGUUGGCGGGGUAAUGGCCCACCAAAGGCAAUGAUCUGUAUCCGGCCUGAGAGGGCGCACGGACACACUGGAACUGAAACACGGUCCAG
rnacentral:rRNA from 1 species